AUUGAACGCUGGCGGCAGGCCUAACACAUGCAAGUCGAACGAGUGGCGGACGGGUGAGUAAUGUCUGGGAAACUGCCUGAUGGAGGGGGAUAACUACUGGAAACGGUAGCUAAUACCGCAUACCAUCGGAUGUGCCCAGAUGGGAUUAGCUAGUAGGUGGGGUAACGGCUCACCUAGGCGACGAUCCCUAGCUGGUCUGAGAGGAUGACCAGCGACACGGGAACUGUGACACGUGCCAGACUCCUCGGGGAGGCAGCAGUGGGGAAUAUUGCACAAUGGGCGGAAGCCUGAUGCAGCCAUGCCGCGUGUAAGAAGAAGGCCUUCGGGUGGUAAAGUACUUUCAGCGGGGAGGCGUUACCCGCAGAAGAAGCACCGGCUAACUCCGUGUCAGCAGCCGCGGUAAUUC
rnacentral:rRNA from 1 species